rnacentral:lncRNA from 1 species
UUGCUUCAGCAGACUGUCGAAAGCUCUGCUCGAGAAUCCGUGGGAGAGGACCAUUCGAGUGCUCUCUCCGCCAGCCUGGUACGAAGAAAUUUCUAUUUGUGUUAUUCUUCUGCAGAGAUUUUCAGGUUCCUCUGGUCUAAUCAUGAACAGGACUUCGUUGACCUUGCCGGGAGUGAACGCGCAUCUCAGGCUCUGUCGGCCGGCGUGAGGUUGAAGGAAGGCUGCCACAUAAACCGCAGCUUGCUGACCUUGGGCUCCGUCAUCCGCAAGCUAAGGUAUGAUCAAGGGAAGUAGUGUUCACCAUAAAAUCGAAUGGCACCGUUCACUCACUUACAGCAUGCUUCACUCAAUUCAGUGAUGAAAAAAAUGGCGACGGGUCUUCUUGAGACUCCAUGAGAGGCACCCUGAGAACUGGAGGAAUGCUCAUGUCUAACAAAUUUAUGAUGUUUUUGUUGUUCUUGUUCUUGGGAGCAGCAAAGGAAGAAAUGGGCACAUCCCGUACCGAGAUUCCAAGUUGACCCGCAUUCUUCAGCCUUCGUUGGGAGGAAAUGCCAGGACAGCGAUCAUUUGCA